GCUGGGGGAGCGGCCGCCCGUACAGGGCAGUGCGGACGGAUGGGCCGCGUCGGAGCAGAGAGCCGGGAGACGCAGCCCUUGGAAAGGCCACGUGAGAGGAGUUCAGGAAGGACGGCAUCCAGUGGGAGAGAGCCACGUGGAGCAGGGAAAGGGAGUGGCUAUGACGGAGUGGCAGAGAAAAGCCCCCGUUCCCCGAUGUGUUGCUUGAAGAGAGGAGGUAGAUGAAGGGAUCACCUGCUUCUGCUUCCCAUGGUACCUCCCAAGGCAGCAAUAACUGUAUUGCUCUGAAGGAGACCAUUACCAACAAUGGUUGCAACUCUGUAUGGGCGAGAAAUGGAAUUUCAUUAUAACUACAUUCAAAGGUAUUAUUAUUUUCCUAGAGGAGUGCAUGUCUAUGACUACUGCCCAUUCAGUAUAGAAAACUGAACUGUAUCCUCUCGAAGUCUGGGAAUACAAAAGCACAAAGGUUAAUUCCAAUCACCUUUCACAGGCAGGUGUGUAUUCUCCACUAAUGUCUCCAUCUAGACUUUUCAGUCCACCCGCACCCCAGUUUUGCAGGGCUAUCACACACUCCUUCAGUAUAUGAACUUACCACUUGCUACCAGGCUUCUCUCCACUCUCCCUUGUACAUCCCCAAAGAUGUCAUUUAUGGGCUCUUUAACAACAUUUGAAAAUCAAAAGGAAUAGGUGGGAGACAUACUCCCAGAAUUUUCUAGAGUUAGGCAGGCGCUGGAAGCAAUGCUCUGGCCCAGACUGCUGCGGAAGCGGCAACCCAGCCUGCAGAGAUUUAAAAAGAAAUUACCCAAUUAAGAUGUAAUGGUCCUCCAGCCUUCCUACGCUGUGAAUGAGUGCAGACAUGAUUUACAAUCACAGAGAGUCAUAAAACUCUAUCCAGUUAUAUCAAAUCAACGGGGCUAAAUUAGCCAGCAACAUCCUGAUUAGGUGCUGUGCCUGUGUGUGUGUGUGCGCGUGUGCGCAGGAUGAUUUAUGAUGAGAUCUGCUGAACCCGUCAAAAGAAAUUUUAAAAUGACCUUCCAGGGGAAAAAAGGAGUGGAAGAGAGGGAUAUUGAGGUUUCAGAAAGACAAUUGUACUGCCUCACUCUGAAAGAUCACAGUGAAUAGAGGCGAAGAAAGAUUACAUUUGUCAGUGUGUUUGUAUGAUGAAUACUUAUCCACAUUCACUCGUUCCUUCCCCCUUGGCAGGCAAAUAGGAGGCAAAGUUCAUUCUCCAUUGAGGAGUUUUGUUAUGGUAGGGCUCCUAGUCACUAUUUAAUUAUCGUAACAGAGAGAUUUCCUUUUUUUUUAAGUGAAUCUUACUUAUGCUCAUGAAUACUGAAGGACUGCAUGAGCACAGCAAAGUGGAGUCCUCUAUUUAUCCAAAGGUCAGAGAUGAUUGCAGGCAGGUGGUCCAAUUACCCUAGAGGAAAAAAAUAUCUUUCUCCCUCCAUCCUUCUGCCUGCCUCAUUCUCCCCAGCUAGUCCAGGAAAAAUGAUAAAUAAAAAACUAGAGCUGCAUAAAGGAAGCUGUCAGCCUUUUUGCUUCUGAAGAGAGCAGCAGUACAAUUUGGUACAAGCAUAGUGUGUUCAUGAAUCCAAAACAUAAAUCACUGCCUUCAUAAUAGGGCCAUGAAGGCAGGGAUGAGGCUUCUUUCAGCCAAGAGAGCAACAAGCAGCAACAUCUCAAAGGUGAGGGAGAUUAGACCAGGUUUUUAUUUCUCACUGUGCCUCUGCUCUUUCUGCUUCUCCAACCGUUCACAGCAUUUCUUUCCCUGAUAUGUGCCCUACCUUCAAACUCCUGGCCACCCUGAAAUUUUUCAGCUGACCGCCCGAGCCCACAAGCUGUGACGCGUUCCAGAAAGGACUCUCCAUGCUUGUCAGUUCCUCCUGGUGCCUUAAUCCUGCAAAGGAAAUAUUUUUACAGGGCAGUAAUGCGUGGCAGCCUUCAACUUCCCUAAAAUAUGGAUGAGGGAUGCUUUCAGUGAUUGAGCACAAAACGAAAAAGCUCUUAUACCAGCUUCCUCUGAGAGAAGAUUGUUGUCUAGGCCAUCAUUACUGCAGAAUAAAAAUAAUAAUAAUAAUAAUAAUAAUAAUAAUAAUAAAUUAAAUGGCAGUACUUACACCAAAUACAGCUUCUGAGGAGAACAACACACUAUGAAGAUGAACACCACAUCAGCUGUUCAUAAUCCAGACAUCAUUUUGUUAGUUCUUAGGAAUUAUUGUUUUUGUUGUUGUUGCUCUUACUUUGCUAUGCAUAUGGGAAUCUUAAUCUGUCCUUCAGAUGGAAUUUCCUAGGCAUCUUAAGAAUCUAAUGAACUUCUUGCUUAAACCCUUUGAGAAAUAGCAAGUCUAUUGGCAGGCAAAAGUUUCAGAAUUGCAGUCUUUGAGCGAGUCUGACUGCUAAACUUGGCCUGAAAACUCAUUUAAUUUCUCAAGGUAGAGUCUGCCACCCUCAAUGCACAGUUCUAGGUAAAGAAGGGAAAAGAAACAGCAGUGGCCUAUGAGGUUCAAAAUAAGUUUUGCAAACAGCAAACAUUCUUUGAGAAGAGACUUUUCCAGGCUAAUCUUGCUUGUUAAAUACGGUUGAGUUAUGUCAAAAUGUACUGUACACAAGCCAGUUCUUAGGUAUGAAAAGUAGUGGAAGUAUGUGACAAAAGAUGUCAAGCAGUUAAGAACAAGGAAGAAAAUGUAACUGAACAAAGUCUAGCAAUCUGACCCCAGCUUUACAGAUACUGUAGGGGUACAAAGAAGAUCUACAAACUUAGAAAACUUAAAUUCAAGAACCCAGCACAGUCAGCUCUGUCUUCUGUAUACAUGUGCUCUCCACCCCGGUGACAUUGCAGCAGCUAAAUGACCACAAUGGGUAUCAUAAAUAGCAACAGCAAGAAAGGUGGGAGGUGGAGAAACGAUGUGGGACCAGAACAUCAAUAGAGUAUUGUGAACCGCAGUCUAACUAAGAUUAUUUUUCUCUUCAUUGUGAAUUUUGAUGCCUAAAUAAUAUUAUACAUGGCUGUGAAUAGGAUAUUUCACUGAUUACAGAAUUCAAGGUGCAUGAUAGUCAUAAGUGAUUAAAAGUCUGUCUUUUACUUUCUUAUGUACUAGGAAUUAGGAAGUGCACUUUGAAACUCUGAAAGAAGAAAUAGGAAGGAAAUCUUCUGUGUAAUUUCUCUGCAGGACUAAGUCCCAUAUGAACAC